AUUGAACGCUGGCGGCAUGCCUUACACAUGCAAGUCGAACGGUAACGCGGGGCAACCUGGCGACGAGUGGCGAACGGGUGAGUAAUGUAUCGGAACGUGCCCAGUUGUGGGGGAUAACUGCUCGAAAGAGCAGCUAAUACCGCAUACGACCUGAGGGUGAAAGCGGGGGAUCGCAAGACCUCGCGCAAUUGGAGCGGCCGAUAUCAGAUUAGGUAGUUGGUGGGGUAAAGGCUACCAAGCCUGCGAUCUGUAGUUGGUCUGAGAGGACGACCAGCCACACUGGGACUGAGACACGGCCCAGACUCCUGCGGGAGGCAGCAGUGGGGAAUUUUGGACAAUGGGCGCAAGCCUGAUCCAGCAAUGCCGCGUGCAGGAAGAAGGCCUUCGGGUUGUAAACUGCUUUUGUCAGGGAAGAAAUCCUCUGGGUUAAUACCUCGGGGGGAUGACGGUACCUGAAGAAUAAGCACCGGCUAACUACGUGCCAGCCGCCGCAGUAAAAC
rnacentral:rRNA from 1 species